AAGUGGAGAAAUUUGCCGUUCCAACUUUGUCGCGGUUCUCUCUCACUGGCGGCGGCGGCGAGGCCUCUGCGUCUUCCAGAUCCCUCGUACGGGAGGGAAUCUCCGCAGCCGAGCGGAGCGGCGGAGGGGAGGGAGGUGUGCCCUAUAUCCGUACGGUGUACGUGCAUGUGCUGGCGCAGCAAAGCGACAGCUCUCUCGAAGAUGACGAUGUUUAUGCUCCCUUUUGGACGUUGAUAUUGGAGGGCAAGAAAUACAAUUGAGUUGUAUACCAAAUCAGUCAUGUAUUAAAAUGAGAUGUAGUUUUAAUUCUAUUGUUUGUAUAUUGUUGGGUUGUACUUUAGAAUCGUGCGUUCUAAUUCCACGCAAUAUAAGAGAGCUUUGUAUGUAUUAGAUGUAAUACUCAAAAGUGUAAUAAAAGAGGAUAGAGAUAAUCUCAAAAGUUUGUGGUC